UACGGAGGGUGCAAGCGUUAUCCGGAUUCACUGGGUUUAAAGGGUGCGUAGGUGGGCAGUUAAGUCAGUGGUGAAAUCUCCGGGCUCAACCCGGAAACUGCCAUUGAUACUAUCUGUCUUGAAUAUCGUGGAGGUAAGCGGAAUAUGUCAUGUAGCGGUGAAAUGCUUAGAUAUGACUAGAACACCAAUUGCGAAGGCAGCUUACUACCCGAAUAUUGACACUGAGGCACGAAAGCGUGGGGAUCAAACAGG
rnacentral:rRNA from 1 species